rnacentral:rRNA from 1 species
AGCUCAAAUUUGAAAGCUGGUACCUUCGGUAUCCGCGUUGUAACCUCGAGACACGUUUUCCGUGCGGCGCUAUGGACAAGUUCCUUGGAACAGGACAUCGUAGAGGGUGAAAAUCCCGUACUUGCCAUGGAUGUACCGUGCUUUGCGAUACGUGCUCUAAGAGUCGAGUUGUUUGGGAUUGCAGCUCAAAAUGGGUGGUAGACUCCAUCUAAAGCUAAAUAUCGGGGAGAGACCGAUAGCGAACAAGUACCGUGAGGGAAAGAUGAAAAGCACUUUGGAAAGAGAGUUAAAAGUACGUGAAAUUGUCGAAAGGGAAGCGCUUGAAGUCAGCCAUGCCGCUCAGGACUCAGCCUGGCUUUUGCUUGGUGUAUUUCCUGGGUAGCAAGUCAGCAUUGGUUUGGAUCGUCGGAGAAGCAUAGUCGGAAUGUGGCGCCCUCGGGCGUGUUAUAGCCUUCUAUUGGAUACGACGAUCUAGACCAAGGAACGCAGCGCGCCUUAUGGCGGGUCUUCGGACACCUUCGCGCUUAGGAUGCUGGCGUAAUGGCUUUAAGUGGCCCGUC